AACGAACGCUGGCGGCAUGCCUAACACAUGCAAGUCGAACGAGACCUUCGGGUCUAGUGGCGCACGGGUGCGUAACGCGUGGGAACCUGCACUUAGGUUCGGAAUAACUCUCCGAAAGGGGUGCUAAUACCGGAUAAUGUCUUAGGACCAAAGAUUUAUCGCCUUUGGAUGGGCCCGCGUUGGAUUAGCUAGUUGGUAGGGUAAAAGCCUACCAAGGCGACGAUCCAUAACUGGUCUGAGAGGAUGAUUAGCCACACCGGGACUGAGACACGGCCCAGACUCCUACGGGAUGCAGCAGUGGGUAAUAUUGCACCACGGGCGAAAUCCUGAUCCAGCAAUGCCGCGUGAGUGAUGAAGGCCUUAGGGUUGUAAAGCUCUUUUACCCGGGAUGAUAAUGACGGUACCGGGAGAAUAAGCUCCGGCUAACUCCGUG
rnacentral:rRNA from 1 species